rnacentral:tRNA from 1 species
GCCAACGUAGCUCAACGGUAGAGUUCUGGUUUUGUAAACCAGGGGUUGUCGGUUCGAAUCCGACCGUUGGCU